ACAGAACAGGAAGGUUUAAAAUAAACCCAAAGAAUGCAAAGAUCAUGUAAUCAUGAAAAUGUUUACUUAAAAAAAUAAAAAUAAAGGCAAAUACAGUGGAUGUGUUAUGCAGUGCAGGUGUCUGUUGACGUACCUGGAUUUUUCACCCAGAAUCACCUCUUCAAACGGAUAUCACAGCUGGAACCCUAGGCAGAGAGACAAGGAACCCCAACCCCAGAGGACCCAACACAAUAGUCACCACGCGUUAGGACGGUGACAGACAGAUUUAUUAUUUGGGAACAACUGGUCACCGCUGGAGGAUUAAUUGAUCAAAAGCAAUUACAAUUCCUUUUAAAGACAGUUACUGUAUAUCAAUAUCAUCAGAUAACACCAUGCGAAAGGAACACCUACAAGAAUUGACCAAAAUUGACCAGAAUUGACCAAAAUGGCUGAGAAAAAUGCUGAUUUCAUGAAAGACUUUAUAAAGGCCUAUAGAGCUCAGGAUUGGGGAACCUCUGAAGAAAUGUAUUCUCCCUGGGCAGACAGCAUCUUCAUUCGGUAUUCACUAUUCAUGUAGGAUAUCACAUGGUCCAGAAGAUGCCUGUUUGUAUUGGAAUAUAACCACUGUCAUCAUCAUACAGAGGUUCAACCAGACUCAUGUCACCUCCUGCCCUCUGCGUCUCUUAUCCACACCAUCAUCAACCACCUUCAUCUCUCUUUCACACCAUGAUCUCCCACCUGCAUCUCUCAACCUCACCGUCAUCAUCCCCCUGCAUCUCUCAUCGACAGCAUCAACUCCCCCCUGCUUCGUCUCUCUGCCAUGCCAUCAUCUUCUCCCUUCACCGUCUCUCAGCCUUGCCAUCAUCUCCUCCCUGUGUUGUCUCCCAGUUACAUCAUCAUUUCCUCCCUGUGUCUUCUCUCAGCCAUGCCAUAAUCUUCUGCCUGCGUUUCUCUUCCACGCCAUCAUCUCCCAUCUGCAUCUCCCGCCAUCCCCCUCACUCUAACUUACCCCCACUUUCCACAGCCUAAACCUUCCCUUGCCCCCCGCAGCCUACCCCUAACCCUCUUGGGGGGUGCCUAACCCUAACCCCACUCUUCACAGCCUAAACCUAACCCCCGAUUCUUCAUGUAGUCAUGGUACAAACGUCUACCCAAAAUGAACCUACUCUGCUUUACCAAAUGCACCACAGUAAUCACCAGACCAUACCUCUCAACUGUCCCAAUUCUGGUGGGACAGUCCCGUUUUUCACGGUCUGUCGUAAUGUUCCACAUAUGGGUCGCAGUGUCCCAUGAUGGGGGCAGUUGGGAGAUCCCCCCUGUCACUCGCUGCUCUGAGCAGAGUAGUGGUGAAUAGAUGCUGUGCGCAUAGCAUCUAUUCCCUGACAAAGAGGGACGGGGCAUGGCCAGCAGCUCACUGAGUGCUGUUCAUGCCCCCAUACUGACAAAAACGUGUGUGGGGGUAUUGCCACAAGGUCAUGUCCCCUACCAACAAGACCAUGCCCCCAUCUGUGAAGCCACAUCCCCUAAUUUUGGCGCGCAAUGACGUCCCUAUUUAACAAGAAGACAAAUUGGAAGGUAUGACCAAACUACAAUAUUAUCAUAAAAGAUCAAAAAUAUACUGAAUAUAUAUAUUUUUAAUAUAGCUCAGCUGGGCGUAGCUGGCACCCCCUCACCUGCUGUUCAGUGCUGAGGAGUGCAGUGAGUCUCCUGGUAACUGCUGGGUGGAGUUGCUCGCAUAACGCAGGAGCUCCCCUGUACUUGCCUAUCUCUGUGGCUUAGAAGGAGGAACCAGCGGACAACUGUUUUGUGUAGGAACAGGACACCAGACCUCCCACCCCUGGGAAAGAGCUGCAGACUGUUGUAAAUCAAGUUACCUCACUGGGAUGACCCCAGCUGAUUGCGUCCUCCUUCUCAUUUUCUUCAGUGUGAUCAUUCCCGGUGCCUGCUGUGUGGCGGCAUAUCAGCUGUGGUUAUCCCGGGGAGUUCACUUGGUUUACAACUACAAGUCUGCAGUGCUUUCCCAGAGUGUGUGUGUGUGUGUGGGGGGGUUCCUGUUCUGCUGGUGAAUAGGAGAUGCACUCCCUGUUAUGUUUGUGCCAGCUCCGGGUGCUGGGUGUGGCAACAAGUUUUGCUGGGCAGUGUCUCCACCUUGCUUGCUCCGGGACCGCAGCAACAGGCAUUUGUGAGGGGAGAUCCAGACAUUAGGGGGUGCCUGUGUGCACUGGCACCCCCCGUGCGCACACCUAUCACUGCAGAUAUAUCUGCCAGUGUGUACCCAGCUUAGUCCCACAUCUUAAAGUUCCAAAUCUGAAAUAUCUGAGAUAUCUGCUUUGGUCUCAAAGAAUAGUGUAUAGUGAUACAUACUUCUAACACAGAGUUAAUUUAGAGCACAAAAGGAAUUGCAUUACUUGGCUAGAUUGGAAACUAUCUAUGCAAGUGGUUAAUUAAAAAUAUUAAUUAUAGUUAUUAAAUCAUACCUCCUAACUUUCUAAAAUUGGGAGGAGGGACACAAAUGUGCGCCAAUGGUGCACAGCCAAAAUGAGGGGGCGUGGUCACUCAAACAGGGGUAUGGUCUCAUGGGAAGUGCCGCAAUCACGGGCUAUGCCCCUGUUUUCGCCGCUGUGGGCGGCAUGACGAGCACUCUGUGAGCUGCUGGCAUGCCUCCUGUCCCUUUCUCCUGAUGAAUAGAUGCUGUGUGCAUGCAUCAC